rnacentral:lncRNA from 10 species
GUGGAUCACAGCCAAGUGUGACAGGUCAUCACUAUUGUUGCCCAUCAGUCAAUUAUCUGGGAUGGCCUGAGGUUGUGUCAUACCUACAUAAGCCACAGAAAAAUUGACUCAUGAAAGAAUCAGGGCUGGGCAUGAAUGAAUGAGAAACUACGUUUAAAUGGAGCCCAGACUGAACGGGAACCAAAUGUGGGUUCUAAUGCCAUUACUCAUUACUGUUACCCAAAUAUGAUCCUGCUCCCCUGGGAGGGUGGCUCUGACCUUGUCACUCCCAAGCCUGGCACCCCCAGAGCAUGCUAGAG